rnacentral:rRNA from 1 species
CCCACGGGAGGCAGCAGUGGGGAAUAUUGGGCAAUGGGCGCAAGCCUGACCCAGCAACGCCGCGUGAAGGAAGAAGGCUUUCGGGUUGUAAACUUCUUUUCUCAGGGACGAAGCAAGUGACGGUACCUGAGGAAUAAGCCACGGCUAACUACGUGCCAGCAGCCGCGGGAAUACGUAGGUGGCAAGCGUUAACCGGAUUUACUGGGUGUAAAGGGCGUGUAGGCGGGACUGCAAGUCAGAUGGGAAAACCAUGGGCUCAACCUAUGGCCUGCAUUUGAAACUGUAGUUCUUGAGUACUGGAGAGGCAGACGGAAUUCCUAGUGUAGCGGUGAAAUGCGUAGAUAUUAGGAGGAACACCAGUGGCGAAGGCGGUCUGCUGGACAGCAACUGACGCUGAGGCGCGAAAGCGUGGGGAGCAAACAGGAUUAGAUACCCCAGUAGUC